rnacentral:rRNA from 1 species
GACGAACGCUGGCGGCGUGCUUAACACAUGCAAGUCUACGAGAAAGAGGUAGCAAUAUCUUGAUUAAAGUGGCGCACGGGUGAGUAACACGUAAGCAAUCUACCCUUAGAUCCGGAAUAACUUCGAGAAAUCGAGGCUAAUACCGGGUAAUGCAGCGGCACCGCAUGGUGAUGUUGUUAAAGUUUCGAUGUCUAGGGAUGAGCUUGCGUCUGAUUAGCUAGUUGGUGAGGUAACGGCCCACCAAGGCUACGAUCAGUAGCUGGUCUGAGAGGAUGAUCAGCCACACUGGAACUGAGACACGGUCCAGACUCCUACGGGAGGCAGCAGUGAGGAAUAUUGGGCAAUGCCCGCAAGGGUGACCCAGCAACGCCGCGUGGAGGAUGAAUGCCGUAAGGUUGUAAACUCCUGUUAGAGGGGAAGAAUAAUUCCGAUUGCAUCGGAACUU